rnacentral:rRNA from 1 species
ACGUAGGGGCCUAGCGUUGUCCGGAAUUAUUGGGCGUAAAGAGCUCGUAGGCGGUUCGGCAAGUCGGAUGUGAAAUCUCCACGCUUAACGUGGAGGGGCCAUUCGAAACUGCUGUGACUCGAGUCCGGUAGGGGAGUGUGGAAUUCCCGGUGUAGCGGUGAAAUGCGCAGAUAUCGGGAGGAACACCAGUAGCGAAGGCGGCACUCUGGGCCGGUACUGACGCUGAGGAGCGAAAGCGUGGGGAGCGAACAGGAUUAGAUACCCUGGUAGUCCACGCCGUAAACGUUGGGCACUAGGUGUGGGACUCUAUCGACGGGUUCCGUGCCGUAGCUAACGCAUUAAGUGCCCCGCCUGGGGAGUACGGCCGCAAGGCUA